UACGUAGGGGGCAAGCGUUGUUCGGAAUUACUGGGCGUAAAGGGCGCGUAGGCGGCACAGCAAGUCGGGAGUGAAAGCCCGGGGCUCAACCCCGGAAUGGCUUUCGAAACUGCUGAGCUAGAGUACAGAAGGGGCAACCGGAAUUCCCAGUGUAGCGGUGAAAUGCGUAGAUAUCAAGAGGAACACCUGAGGUGAAGACGGGUUGCUGGGCUGAUACUGACGCUGAUGCGCGAAAGCUAGGGUAGCAAACGGG
rnacentral:rRNA from 1 species